rnacentral:rRNA from 1 species
CGGAAAGCCUGAUGCAGCAACGCCGCGUGUGCGAUGAAGGCCUUCGGGUCGUAAAGCACUUUUCUGAGAGAUGAGAAAGGACAGUAUCUCAGGAAUAAGUCUCGGCUAACUACGUGCCAGCAGCCGCGGUAAAACGUAGGAGGCGAGCGUUAUCCGGAUUCACUGGGCGUAAAGCGCGUGCAGGUGGCUCGGUAAGUUGGGCGUGAAAUCUCCCGGCUCAACUGGGAGAGGUCGUUCAAUACUACCGAGCUAGAGAGCAGAAGAGGAAGAUGGAAUUCCCGGUGUAGUGGUGAAAUGCGUAGAUAUCGGGAGGAACACCAGUGGCGAAGGCGAUCUUCUGGUCUGUUUCUGACACUCAGACGCGACAGCUAGGGUAGUAAACGGGAUUAGAGACCCCGGUAAUCCUAGCCGUAAACGAUGUGAACUUGGCGUUGGUGGGUUAAACUCCAUCAGUGCCGAAGCAAACGCGAUAAGUUCACCGCCUGGGGACUACGGCCGCAAGGUUA